rnacentral:rRNA from 1 species
GCUUGUCUCAAAGAUUAAGCCAUGCAUGUCUAAGUAUAAGCCUUUAUAUGGUGAGACUGCGAAUGGCUCAUUAAAUCAGAAACUGUUUAUUUGAUAGUGCCUACUACAUGGAUACCUGUAGUAAUUCUAGAGCUAAUACAUGCACAAAGGCCCGACUCACGAAGGGCUGUAUUUAUUAGAUUUAAAGCCGACAUCUUUUGGUGAUUCAUAAUAACUCGCGGAUCGGUUUACCGAUGCAUCAUUCAAGUUUCUGCCCUAUCAGCUUUGGAUGGUAGGGUAUUGGCCUACCAUGGCUUUAACGGGUAACGGAGAAUUAGGGUUCGAUUCCGGAGAGGGAGCCUGAGAAAUGGCUACCACAUCCAAGGAAGGCAGCAGG